rnacentral:rRNA from 1 species
GACGAACGCUGGCGGCGUGCUUAACACAUGCAAGUCGAACGGAAAGGCCCUGCUUUUGUGGGGUGCUCGAGUGGCGAACGGGUGAGUAACACGUGAGUAACCUGCCCUUGACUUUGGGAUAACUUCAGGAAACUGGGGCUAAUACCGGAUAGGAGCUCCUGCUGCAUGGUGGGGGUUGGAAAGUUUCGGCGGUUGGGGAUGGACUCGCGGCUUAUCAGCUUGUUGGUGGGGUAGUGGCUUACCAAGGCUUUGACGGGUAGCCGGCCUGAGAGGGUGACCGGCCACAUUGGGACUGAGAUACGGCCAGACUCCUACGGGAGGCAGCAGUGGGGAAUAUUGCACAAUGGGCGGAAGCCUGAUGCAGCAACGCCGCGUGCGGGAUGACGGCCUUCGGGUUGUAAACCGCUUUCGCCUGUGACGAAGCGUGAGUGACGGUAAUGGGUAAAGAAGCACCGGCUAACUACGU